UGGGGAAUAUUGGACAAUGGGCGCAAGCCUGAUCCAGCCAUGCCGCGUGAGUGAUGAAGGCCCUAGGGUUGUAAAGUUCUUUCACCGGUGAAGAUAAUGACGGUAACCGGAGAAGAAGCCCCGGCUAACUUCGUGCCAGCAGCCGCGGUAAUACGAAGGGGGCUAGCGUUGUUCGGAUUUACUGGGCGUAAAGCGCACGUAGGCGGACUUUUAAGUCAGGGGUGAAAUCCCGGGGCUCAACCCCGGAACUGCCUUUGAUACUGGAAGUCUUGAGUAUGGUAGAGGUGAGUGGAAUUCCGAGUGUAGAGGUGAAAUUCGUAGAUAUUCGGAGGAACACCAGUGGCGAAGGCGGCUCACUGGACCAUUACUGACGCUGAGGUGCGAAAGCGUGGGGAGCAAACAGG
rnacentral:rRNA from 1 species